rnacentral:tRNA from 1 species
UAGAAGAUGGUGUAGGGGAAGCACAUAGAGUUUUGAUCUCUUUGGCAUAGGUUCAAGUCCUAUUCUUCUAG